UACAGAGGGGGCAAGCGUUGUUCGGAAUUACUGGGCGUAAAGGGCGCGUAGGCGGCCUGCUAAGUCGAACGUGAAAUCCCCGAGCUCAACUCGGGAACUGCGUCCGAUACUGGCAGGCUUGAAUCCGGGAGAGGGAUGCGGAAUUCCAGGUGUAGCGGUGAAAUGCGUAGAUAUCUGGAGGAACACCGGUGGCGAAGGCGGCAUCCUGGACCGACACUGACACUGAGGAGCGAAAGCCAGGGGAGCAAACGGG
rnacentral:rRNA from 1 species